rnacentral:lncRNA from 1 species
AACUCUCAACAAAAAGCAGGAGGAAGUUCUAUCAAUGCUCACAAAGAUUCUAGCCCAGUUGCGAGUUAUGGUGCAGUUAAUGUGUUUUUGGAAAAAGACCUGCAUCCUGGGACAAAAAUGGCUGUGCGCUUCACAAAAACCUCAAGUGCAGCUCAUUUCUUGCCCCAUCAAGUUGCUGAAUCCAUACCUUUUUCAUCAAACAAGCUACCAGAAAUUUUGAAGCGAUUCUCCGUGAAAGAAAACUCCGCAGAAGCCCAGAUGAUACAGAAAACAAUAAAACAAUGUGAGACACCUGCCAUAGUAGGAGAAGUUAAGUACUGUGCGAGGUCCUUGGAGUCCCUAAUUGAUUUCAGCACUUCAAGGCUGGGAAAAAACAUUCGAGUUCUCUCCAAUGAGGUGGAAGCGGAUAUCCAGGAGUAUAAAUUUGGAGAGGGAGUGAAGAUGGUGGGAGAGAAAUCAGUGGUGUGCCACCAGCUGAACUAUCCAUAUGCUGUGGCAUUCUGCCAUACACUUCACAUGACAAAGAUUUACAUGGUUCCAUCGGUGGGUGCUGAUGGAACCGGAGUUGAAGCUGUAGCAGUUUGUCACCGGGACACUUCAACUUGGGACCCAAAGGCUUUGGUCUUUCAAAGGCUCAAAGUUAAGCCAGGAACUUUGCCCAUCUGCCAUUUCCUUCCCAAUGGUCAUAUUGUCUGGGUUCCAAAGUAGGUAGAGAUCCGCAGAAAGCCUCAAACCCAAUUGCUGGCUUGCAGUUUCUGUAAUAUAUUGUGUGCUAUUUGAAUAACGGCAAGGGUUGAGGAAUGUGUGUCCUAACUCCUAUGUGUAAUAUUAUUCGGUAACGAGUGACUUUCUCCUUGGAUUAUUUAUUUUUUUCGAGUUAAUUUCAUUCACCUUUUCUCAACUAAGUACAUCUAGCUCCCAUAAUUUUAAAAUUUCAUUAAAUAUUAGGCUUAUUCUUUUCAUUUCUUAUUUUCACUUAUUACCUAUUUCAUUCAAAAUAAAGGAAAUGUACGAUGAAAUUUUAAAUUUACGAGAACUAAAUAUAUUUAAUCAAAAUCUUAAAAAUGGUGAAUGAAAUUAACUUUUAUUUUUCUGUUAAUAUUAUCUAUCGCAAAUAAAAGGAAACAGUGACCAAAAGAAUAGUGACAAUACUUACUAUAAUCAUUUUAUUUAAGUAAUAAUAAAAGCAAAAAUUUCAUUAUUUAAUUACCUCAACAAUAAUCAUGUCACAAUUAUUCAAAGAAUAUAGUCCUGAUCGAAACAACACUGAAAAUUAUUAUUAUUAUUAUUUUAUUUGAAUGAUAGUAAAAAUAUGACAUUUAUCUCUUUUUGUUUUACCUACUUAAUUUCCACACCCAUCCAUUUUUUUUCCAUCGAGUUUUCUAUUUUUAUUUAUUUUUAUAUUUUAUAAAAGAUUUUUCAAAUUAUCAAAAUUUUAAAUAAAUAUUAGUUUGAUUGUGGUUAUCAAUUUUCUUGCUAUACAAAGAAAAACACCAAAUCAAACGGUAUUUGAUCUUUUAAACUCUUUAACAAAUCUAAUAACUUUUAAAAAUAAUUUAAAAACCAAUUAAUACCUAUUGCAACCUAAAAAUGUGCUAUCCAUGUUGACAAUUUAUUACCCUGAAGCUCCUUGCCCCAUUUCCAAUCGUAGUUGUAGAUGAGGGAGCGGUCGAUGAUAAUUUUCCUGAUGAGGACAUUAUUAUAAACAUUAUUACGAUGGUAUGGCAAAGUGAAGGCUGCAUUAUGGUGGAGCUUCCAACAAUCGAGAACAUGUUGUUGGUGUAUUUUAGUUAUUUCUCUUCUAGGUGAUCACAUUCCUCAUCAAUUAUAUAAUUAUAAUGAUCGAAAUCGAUGCAAUCGAAGAAAUCAAAAAACCAGUGUGUGAAGGAACGAGUCUUAAGUACAAAUAAAUGGAAUCACCUAUAAAAAUUAAGAACAUAAAAAAUAAUAUUUAAAUUAAAAAAUUGUAUAUAUAAUCAAAUAAAUUAUUAUCAAAUAUAAAGAAAUAUGAUCUCCAUCACCAUUUUUCAACCGCCGUCCAACUUGGCAGCCAAUGUGGCUACGCUACCCUCCUUUCAACCUCUUCCAUGAUGACCUCAUUAGUCUAGAUCUUUCGGAGAUAGUCUGCAUAGGUCCGAUGGAAUCAAUAGUAGAGAGUAUAUAUCUAAUGAGUUUGGUUCAGUUUGGUUCUUUCUUUGGAGAGCAUGAGAAUAUACCCUGUCGACAAUAAUGUCGGUUUCCCAUCGGAAUGAGUUUGUAGAGGAGAAAAAAAGGGUAGCUUUAGCACAAAAUUCAUAUUACUGUGUGUGACAGAAAUAACUUUAAAAUAUACCAAGUGGGGAGUAAAAUUUGUUCAUUAUUUAAAAAGAAAUGUAUAAGAAUACUAUCUAAUUCUCCGGGAUCAAGAUUCCAAUCAAUCAGCCAAUUCCAUUGGAAAGCAUCUAUCAGAUAGAUAAAGCCGAUGAACAACCUCUCACACAGGAUAUUGUCUUAAAUUUCAAUUAGAUAUUGACGAUGCGACAACCUCUCACACAUGAAUGCCUUACGUAGUAGUUUAAUGGAAUUAGCUUUGUCUGUGCCUAUGCCACCAGCAUUUUGAUUAAUGCUUGUGGGACAUGAGUGAGAGAAGAAAUCAACAAUAAAUAGGAAGCCAUGAACUUCCUUACUUUCCAUUCUGGGUUCUAGGCGGCUAGCUUUGUACGAGUUGGAGUAGUUUCAGAGAUUUAAUGGAGUUUCAUCUCCUUCCCAUUCUGACUUCUUUCUUGGUGAGCCUUCACUUCCACCUUUUCUUGAACACUUCGUUUUUAUAUUUGAUGGAAUAUAACUUACAUAUAUGGCAUGAAGUACUUGUGGCAGCUGGUGGUGGUCAGCCAUGCUUAUUCUCUACCUUCCGAGGUUGAUUGGAAGUCGGCUUUGCCUAACACUCCCUUCCCGAAAGCUAUGCGGAAUCUCUUAAUGCAGCCUGGUUGGUUUCCAACUUCCUCUUUUGUUGGCUCAUAGUAAUAGUGUGUUGAAUAAUGUAUUUAUGAGAAUCAUCUAUCAAAUAUUUCUUCACAAAAUAUUAUAAGUAUUUUUUCAAUAAUGAUUUUUCAUAUUUUUAAAGAUAUUUCCUAAAAUUUUAUCAAAUAUCAAAUGAGUUCUAAACCUGUUUGAGAACUAUUGCUAGUUUGAAUGACCAUAAUAGACUAAAAAAUAACUUGAGUAGAGAUGAGAUUUAUUUAUUUUAAUAUUUAUGUCAAUUAUGGGGAUUAUAGGUAAUGACGAAUUUGAAAAAUAAAAUGUACGUAACAUCGAGUAUAAAUGAGUUAUAAUCAUGUGAAAUUAUCAAUAACCAUGUUUUGAUAAAAUAUUUGCUGCAUAAUGCAACAAAUUAAAUGGCCUAAGUUACACCAUCAAUCAUGGGUUUAUGUGUGGCUUUAGAAAAUAUGUGUCCUUAAUUAUUUCUCAAGUUAUUAUCAUCGUCAUCAUAAUUAACCUUUUAAAUUGUUGAAUUUGCAAACACAACAAAAGACGGAAGUUCUACCAAUGCUGACAAGACCAUCCCCACUGACCCUCAAAAAGCAGCGAAAAGUUCUAUAAAUGCUCACAAGGAUGCUAGCCAAAUUGAUCAAUACGAUUUAGUUCAUGGAAACAUUAAAAAGUUAAAUGAAAGCUCUAUCGAAUCUCCCAAGGAUGCUAGCUCACUUGUCGGAUAUGAUGCAAUCUAUGGAAACGCCAAAAAACAAGGAGAUGCUGUCCCAAUUACCGGAUCAUAUGAUGCAGUCUAUGGAAACCCCAAAAAACAAGGAGAUGCUACCCCGGAUCAUAUGAUGCAAUCUAUGGAAACCCCAACAAACAAGGAGAUGCUGCCCCAGUUACCGGAUCAUAUGAUGCAGUCUAUGGAAACCCCAAAAAACAAGGAGAUGCUGCCCCAGUUACCGGAUCAUAUGAUGCAGUCUAUGGAAACCCCAAAAAACAAGGAGAUGCUGCCCCAGUUACCGGAUCAUAUGAUGCAGUCUAUGGAAACCCCACAAAACAAGGAGAUGCUUCCCCAGUUACCGGAUCAUAUGAUGCAGUCUAUGGAAACCCUAAAAAACAAGGAGCUGCUACUCCAGUUACCGGACCAUAUGAUGCAGUCUACGGAAACCCCAAAAAACAAGGGGAUGCUACCCCAAUCACCGGAUCAUAUGAUGCAGUGUAUGGAAACCCUCAAAAAAUUGUAGGAAGUUCCAUUAAUGCUCAUAAGGAUGCCAGCCCAAUUGCCGGAUAUGAUGCAGUUUAUAGAAACCCUCAAAAAGCAGGAGGAAGUUCUAUUAAUGCUCAGAAGGAUGCUAGCUCAAUUGCCGGAUAUGAUGCAGUCUACGGAAGCGCUCAAAAAGUAGGUGAAAGUUCCAUCAAUGCCCACAAGGAUGCCAACUCAAUUGCCGGAUAUUAUGCAGCCUAUGGAAACCCUCGAGAUGCAGGUGAAAGUUCUAUUGAUGCUGGCAAGGCUAGCCCAACUGCCUCAUAUCGGACUGUUUACGGAAAUCCUCGAAAAGCAAGUGGAAGCACUGAUAUCAAUGCUGGUAAGCCUAGUAGAACUAUGCAAUACGAGAGGGUCUAUGGAAAUCCUCAAAAAGCAGGCGGAAGUUCUGUAAGCGCGGGCAAAAAUAGUCCAAACAUGCAACAAGGACACCAAGAUGGUACCAGUACAGGUAAUGUGUUCUUGGAAAAAGACCUGCAUCCUGGGACUAAAAUGAUGGUGCGCUUCACAAAAACCUCAAGUGCAGCUCAUUUCUUGCCCCAGCAAGUUGCUGAAUCCAUACCUUUUUCAUCAAACAAGCUACCAGAAAUUUUGAAUCAGUUCUCAGUGAAA